CUUCUCUCUCCAGUUUCUCUGCACUUCCAUCCUUCCCUCUCUCUCUGCCUUCCCGUCUCUCAUCUUUUUUUGGAAGAUGAGAUCCUGAGGAUCCCUAGGUCUCUAGAGAACUCAUCUUCAAGGCAGAACCUCAGCAGCCAGCUCUGUGUUUGAUCAACACUUGAAGUGCCUGCAAAUACUCUUUGCUUCUCAUUUAAAUUUGUAUCGAUCUCCCAAAUGGCAAACAGGAGAACAUAAACAAAAGCCAGUCCCUGAGAAGUCAGAAUUACUGAGAAAUGAACCAGGGUCUCCUUGUGCAGAAGUGUUCUGUGGAUGGCAAGACCUGGAGGUGGGAAUACAUGGAUCAUUAAGAGCUGUCUCCUUCUUGAGAACAGGCUGCAGAAAUCUUUUAUGGGAAAGAGCUGGUUCCUCCAAGGAUGCUUCCAAUUAUCUUUAGUGAUGUGAAGGUACUACUGGUGGGAAUUUCAGAUCCAGUGGGGUGGUAAAUAUUUGUCUUCUCACAAAAUGCUUUUCACAGGGUCUCCUUCCACAAAUGAGCAUUCUCAGCGCACUGAAUGAGACCCUGGAGGACCAGAAGAAUGAUUGCUUCUCUCCAAGGUGAUCCAGAGGUGAAUAUCAUCCCCUGGAGGAUGCCUCUGGCCCAUUGACUGGGAAACACUGCAGUGACCGAGGCAGAAGGCGCUCCAAAUGCAAAGAACAUUAUUCCAAGCAAACGAGGGAGCCCAGCAAUUAUUUCCACUCAAAAGUUGGUAAUGAAUCGGCAUGUUUAUUUAUUCAUUCAUUAAAUGUAGGCAAACAAGCAACCAAAGAGGAAGCCGUCUGGCCAUUCUUUUAAUGAAUCUGCCCCAUUUCUGAGUGAAAUGUAGGCCAUGCAGAUGAAAUGCUGAGCUCUGGAAAUAUAUUACCCACUCAGGAAGCCAUCCUUCCAGCCUUAAUUAAAGAAAAUCAACAACUCCCUUUUGCAGUGGAUGAUGAUGGAAAUCAAACCAAGGAACUGAAAUACAGACUUGCCAGCUUGCAAGCUGGGUCAGGCUUGACUGGGCUUGCAGAAACCAGGGAACCUCAUGAAUUCAUUGGAAAGAUUGUGCCUUGGGUGGCACCAGAACCCUGUAACGUCAAUAGCAGCCAAGAUAUUACAGGCAAUUAAUGUCAUUAUAGGACACCAAAUAUUUUUUGAUGAAGCUUUGAUGACUCAUUCAUUCAUUCGUUCAUUCCCUCAAUUUUUUAUUUGUCCAUAUGCUCAUUCAUUCAUCUACUCAGUAAGCAUUUACUAAGUACCUACUACGUGCUAGGCAUUGCACCAUGGAUAUAAAAAGCUAAUCAAAAAUAAACAUUGUCUCAUUCUAUUACUCUUAAUUUUUAGUAGAGAAGAUGUUUACUAGGGGAAUUAUCACAUAAAUAUGUAAUGAUAAAUUGCAAAAGAACUCAGAGGGAAAACUACAAGAAGCCAGCAUAUAAACCAGUUGAGGACAAGGAGAAGAAGGUAGAACAAUCCAGAUACGGAGAACAGUAUGUGCUCAUGUGCCAAUUUUCAGAAAUGGAAGGGAGCACCAUCACCAGAGAGAAUGCCCUUUGGGUAUGGUUUUGCCUCACCUUUGUAUACCAAGUAAUGGAAUUCUCUUUAUAUGAUUAAAUUAGGAAAUGUUUGUGGACUGAAAACUGCCAUGAUAAGAUAAGGCUUAGUUUGAGUGUGUUGGUCUAGAUGCCAAGGAGACUGAUGGGAACCCUGAUUUCACCCUUUUAACCUCUUAAAAGGAGGACUGAGCUUGCCUUGAUGCAGUAGGAACAUGAACUCUGGACCUCCUGUCAUGUGGAUUGCCUCUACCUCAAACCCAGUGUCCUAGAGAGCUCUUGGUUCUUAGCUCCCACGCUCCUCCUGUCCAUGAGUCUGCCAAUCCCUAGUGCAUGGACUCUGGAGAUUCAUCAUGCAAUUAAAACCUGCACCUGCUGCUUAUAAUCUCUAUAACUUUGGGCAAGUCAUUUAAUCUCAUUUUGCCUCAGAUUCCUUGUCUAAAAAUUGGGUGUGAUAGUAGUGUCUAUCUUAGACUUGAGGCUAUGGUGAGGAGGGGCUAUAUGGAAGACACAGAGCAGACAUGCAUACUGAUAUUAUUAUUACUUAGGUAAUUCUCCUCAUUCCCACUUCAGACCAAAGUGCAAGAAAGAAGCUUAUGUUUAACAUCAGAGUAUGUGGAUGGACUUGUGUGUGUGUGUAUGCUCCAUGUCAUUAAGCACAACUGAAAGGUAAACACCCCUGAGACAGGUGUAAAAUGUGUGUGAUGUGAGUAAUGGCUCUUGGCCAUGUCUAAUGCAGGGAUCCUUGGGUAACUGCAAAGUCAGGGUGGCUGGAGUCCAUGAGACUUGGAGUAUUUUAGUAGGAUUCUGCUGAUGGCAUCUGGGUAGCAGCUUGUGACAGUGUUUGCAGUAAUAGCAUGUCCUCCUGAAGAUGGUGAUAUUUUCCAACUCCAUCUCUUUAACUGCCCCACCCACUUAGCUAGCCAUGGUCUACUGAGUUCUGCAUGGAAUAUAGCCUGUCUCACGUCCAUUUUAUACCCAAGCUGUUCUUUCUGCUCUGAAAGCACUCUUUGCCUACUUCCCUUCUCAUUCACAGCCAUCAGGCAAACCAUUCACCUUCCAAGACUUGGCUUAUACAUCUGUCCCCACUGAGUAUCUCUUGGACUCAUCUUCCAUCCCCCAUCAUUAUAAGAUCAGACAUUUUCUUCUUUAUUCCUGACUGAAAUGUAUAUAUAACACAUGCUGUCUUGUCUUAUUAGACUUAUAAGUCUGUCUCCAAACAUAGAUUCUAGGAACAUUCCUACAAGACAGAGCUUUGUUAUGUCUCUUGUGUG